rnacentral:rRNA from 1 species
UACGUAGGGGGCAAGCGUUGUCCGGAAUCAUUGGGCGUAAAGAGCGUGUAGGCGGCCUGAUAAGUCGGCUGUGAAAGUCAAGGGCUCAACCCUUGAAUGCCGGCCGAUACUGUCAGGCUAGAGUCCGGAAGAGGCGAGUGGAAUUCCCGGUGUAGUGGUGAUAUGCGUAGAUAUCGGGAGGAACACCUGUGGCGAAGGCGGCUUUCUGGGCCUUACCUGACGCUGAGACGCGAAAGCGUGGGGAGCGAACCGG